UCAAGCAUUAGUUUACGAAAGAUCUGGAUUGAUUUAACCCAUCUUUUUAUUAACUUGCAACUGAUAUGCUGGAAAAGAAUCUUUCAUCCUACAGCGAGGUAAAAAUUUGGCCGAGGUUUUAGACAGUUGCUGUAAAGAAAAUUUAAAGUACUGUUAAUUGAUGUUAAUCACUUUCGUAAUCUAACACGUUGUCGUUAAGAGAGUUAACAUACAUUCUUUGCACUUUUGCUCCGUGAAUUCUUAGGGAAAAAUCCGAGGCCUUGAAAUUGAGACGAUAAUGGGCAAGAGCUCGCGGUGUGAUCGAAAAUCAGUAUCUAGGAUCUUAAUUGAAUGCUUGGCGCAGCUGGCUAAUGUUAUUAAUAAUACUUCAACGCAUGAGGCUCCUGCUGUGUAAUCCACUUUUCACAGAUCUAUUACCUUUGAUUCUCUCCGCUGUCUUUGAAAUCUGCCGCGACAUGUAAGUAGGAGCGGUUUGUAAAUAUCAAUGACCAUGAAUAAACACAAGCGAUUCUUGGCGUGAAAUUUAUGCUUGGCGGAGGGACUGGACCGACACACGAGGCUUCCAAGAUGGCAGCUGAGGAAGUGAAAUUACUUAGUCAAAUCUGAGUGUUUCCUUGAAAGCACGGUGACGAGUAAAGAUUACCGAUAAGCGAUAAGUGUUUGAAAUCUUUGUCGUGUGUUGAGCAUUGAAGUUUUGUUCAGUUUUGUUUUUGUUUCGUUUGUCUUGUGCAUGUGUUGAUAUUAAGGUUACUGUUCGUAGUUGUUGUGGUGUGUAAUAUGUAUUCUAUGUUGAUAUUUAAUUUCGCAGAGCGAUGAUUAGACUUGAGAAAUGAGUUUCAAACGUUUCUCGUUUGAUAGUGAUUGUUAACACUUGAUUUCUGAGCUCUG